CCUACGGGGGGCAGCAGUAGGGAAUAUUGCACAAUGGGGGAAACCCUGAUGCAGCGACGCCGCGUGAGUGAAGAAGUAUUUCGGUAUGUAAAGCUCUAUCAGCAAGGAAGAAAAUGACGGUACCUGAUUAAGAAGCCCCGACUAACUACGUGCCAGCAGCCGCGGUAAUACGUAGGGGGCAAGCGUUAUCCGGAUUUACUUGGUGUAAAGGGGGCGUAGACGGCAGCACAAGUCUGGAGUGAAAUGCCGGGGCAUAACCCCGGAACCGCUUUGGAAACUGUGCAGCUAGAGUGCAGGAGAGGUAAGUGGAAUUCCUAGUGUAGCGGUGAAAUGCGUAGAUAUUAGGAGGAACACCAGUGGCGAAGGCGGCUUACUGGACUGUAACUGACGUUGAGGCUCGAAAGCGUGGGGAGCAAACAGGAUUAGAUACCCGAGUAGUC
rnacentral:rRNA from 1 species